UGGGGAAUUUUGGACAAUGGGCGCAAGCCUGAUCCAGCCAUGCCGCGUGAGUGAAGAAGGCCUUCGGGUUGUAAAGCUCUUUCAGCUGGAAAGAAAUCGUACUUAUUAAUACUAGGUGCGGAUGACGGUACCAGCAGAAGAAGCACCGGCUAACUACGUGCCAGCAGCCGCGGUAAUACGUAGGGUGCGAGCGUUAAUCGGAAUUACUGGGCGUAAAGCGUGCGCAGGCGGCUUUUUAAGCCAGAUGUGAAAUCCCCGGGCUCAACCUGGGAACUGCAUUUGGAACUGGAAGGCUAGAGUGUAGCAGAGGGGGGUAGAAUUCCACGUGUAGCAGUGAAAUGCGUAGAGAUGUGGAGGAAUACCGAUGGCGAAGGCAGCCCCCUGGGCUAACACUGACGCUCAUGCACGAAAGCGUGGGGAGCAAACAGGAUUAGAUACCCUGGUAGUCCACGCCCUAAACGAUGUCAACUAGGUGUUGGGGAAGGAGACUUCUUUAGUACCGCAGCUAACGCGUGAAGUUGAC
rnacentral:rRNA from 1 species